UUAAAUUGAAGAGUUUGAUCAUGGCUCAGAUUGAACGCUGGCGGCAGGCCUAACACAUGCAAGUCGAACGGUAACAGGAAGAAGCUUGCUUCUUUGCUGACGAGUGGCGGACGGGUGAGUAAUGUCUGGGAAACUGCCUGAUGGAGGGGGAUAACUACUGGAAACGGUAGCUAAUACCGCAUAACGUCGCAAGACCAAAGAGGGGGACCUUCGGGCCUCUUGCCAUCGGAUGUGCCCAGAUGGGAUUAGCUUGUUGGUGGGGUAACGGCUCACCUAGGCGACGAUCCCUAGCUGGUCUGAGAGGAUGACCAGCCACACUGGAACUGAGACACGGUCCAGACUCCUACGGGAGGCAGCAGUGGGGAAUAUUGCACAAUGGGCGCAAGCCUGAUGCAGCCAUGCCGCGUGUAUGAAGAAGGCCUUCGGGUUGUAAAGUACUUUCAGCGGGGAGGAAGGGAGUAAAGUUAAUACCUUUGCUCAUUGACGUUACCCGCAGAAGAAGCACCGGCUAACUCCGUGCCAGCAGCCGCGGUAAUACGGAGGGUGCAAGCGUUAAUCGGAAUUACUGGGCGUAAAGCGCACGCAGGCGGUUUGUUAAGUCAGAUGUGAAAUCCCCGGGCUCAACCUGGGAACUGCAUCUGAUACUGGCAAGCUUGAGUCUCGUAGAGGGGGGUAGAAUUCCAGGUGUAGCGGUGAAAUGCGUAGAGAUCUGGAGGAAUACCGGUGGCGAAGGCGGCCCCCUGGACGAAGACUGACGCUCAGGUGCGAAAGCGUGGGGAGCAAACAGGAUUAGAUACCCUGGUAGUCCACGCCGUAAACGAUGUCGACUUGGAGGUUGUGCCCUUGAGGCGUGGCUUCCGGAGCUAACGCGUUAAGUCGACCGCCUGGGGAGUACGGCCGCAAGGUUAAAACUCAAAUGAAUUGACGGGGGCCCGCACAAGCGGUGGAGCAUGUGGUUUAAUUCGAUGCAACGCGAAGAACCUUACCUGGUCUUGACAUCCACGGAAGUUUUCAGAGAUGAGAAUGUGCCUUCGGGAACCGUGAGACAGGUGCUGCAUGGCUGUCGUCAGCUCGUGUUGUGAAAUGUUGGGUUAAGUCCCGCAACGAGCGCAACCCUUAUCCUUUGUUGCCAGCGGUCCGGCCGGGAACUCAAAGGAGACUGCCAGUGAUAAACUGGAGGAAGGUGGGGAUGACGUCAAGUCAUCAUGGCCCUUACGACCAGGGCUACACACGUGCUACAAUGGCGCAUACAAAGAGAAGCGACCUCGCGAGAGCAAGCGGACCUCAUAAAGUGCGUCGUAGUCCGGAUUGGAGUCUGCAACUCGACUCCAUGAAGUCGGAAUCGCUAGUAAUCGUGGAUCAGAAUGCCACGGUGAAUACGUUCCCGGGCCUUGUACACACCGCCCGUCACACCAUGGGAGUGGGUUGCAAAAGAAGUAGGUAGCUUAACCUUCGGGAGGGCGCUUACCACUUUGUGAUUCAUGACUGGGGUGAAGUCGUAACAAGGUAACCGUAGGGGAACCUGCGGUUGGAUCACCUCCUUA
rnacentral:rRNA from 1 species